rfam:Triticum aestivum genome assembly, contig: Triticum_aestivum_CS42_TGACv1_scaffold_515248_6BS
UGUGUACUCCCUCGGUUCCAAAAUACUUGACUUCCAUUUGUCCAAAAAUGGAUGUGCCUAUAUACUAAAACAUGUCUAGAUACAUAUAUAUUUUGACAAAUAGAAGGCAUGUAUUGUGCAACGGAGGGAGUAGAAU